rnacentral:rRNA from 1 species
UGAGGCGGGGAAGGUGGGCAGGCGAAGUUUGAUGGAGGUUGUCGCUGGCCCUCGGGCAUGUGCACGCCUCUGUCUUAGUCCCUGUUCCCUUUCUCCUUCGCGUGGACUCGUUCUCUCACACACCUGUGCACAAUUUGUAGGCUUCCUCGCAAGGGGAAACCUAUGUCUUUCAUAAACUCGUCUGUAUGUCUAUAGAAUGUCUAUGUUGACGUCGUUCGGCUUGGCCUUCGUGCCUCGUCGGGGGACGGUAAACGAAAUCAUGAACAACUUUCAGCAAUGGAUCUCUUGGCUCUCGCAUCGAUGAAGAACGCAGCGAAUUGCGAUAAGUAAUGUGAAUUGCAGAUUUUCCGUGAAUCAUCGAAUCUUUGAACGCACCUUGCGCUCCUUGGUAUUCCGAGGAGCAUGCCUGUUUGAGUGUCAUUUAAUUCUCAACCAUGUCUUGAUUGAUUUCGAGCGCAUGGCUUGGAUGUGGGGGCUGCUGGCGGCGCGAGCUGUCGGCUCUCCUGAAAUGCAUUAGCAAAGGCGAGCCUUUCGUGCACGGCCUUCGACGUGAUAAUGAUCGUCGUGGCUGGAGCGAGAGGCAUGAAUCGU